rnacentral:snRNA from 1 species
GUGCUCACUUCAGCAGCACAUAUACUACAAUUGGAACAAUGCAGAGAAGAUUAGCAGGGCCCCUGCGCAAGGACAACACGCAAAUUCUUUUUUUUUAAAUUUUU